CAGUCGCCGCGGUAAUACGAAGGGUGCAAGCGUUACUCGGAAUUACUGGGCGUAAAGCGUGCGUAGGCGGCUUCUUAAGUCGGAUGUGAAAUCCAUGAGCUUAACUUAGGAAUUGCAUUCGAUACUGGGAAGCUAGAGUAUGGGAGAGGAUGGUAGAAUUCCAGGUGUAGCGGUGAAAUGCGUAGAGAUCUGGAGGAAUACCAAUGGCGAAGGCAGCCAUCUGGCCUAAUACUGACGCUGAGGUACGAAAGCAUGGGGAGCAAACAGGAUUAGAUACCCCCGUAGUCCCUGUCUCUUAUAU
rnacentral:rRNA from 1 species